UCUCCCACUCCCUCUCCCAUCCCGCCCUUCAUCACGUUUCAUUUUCAAUUACCUUCAUAUACCAGUAGAAUUCUGAUUCCUCUUCUUUCUUAUACACUAUGUUCUUCCAUAGACCAAGAGGAAGAUAACAUUCACAAACUCUCUCAUGUUAUCAUUGGACAAAAUGAAGAUACACGAAUGUGUUGUUUCUCCUAGUUGUUCCCACUUCUGCUACAGCCUCAUUUUGUGCAAGACUGAAAUGGCCUGCUUUCCCUGUGAGAUGCUUCUAGUGGUUUGGAGGUCAUUAUCUGAUUCAGAUCAUGUCACUGUUGAAUGAAUAAGUUAUCACAUACAUCUGCAUUUUUCGCUCUGCAUGGAUUCUCUAGUGUUUCCCAUGGCAGAACCAUUUGAUGUGUUUGUCUGGAAAACCAAGCUUCCCUCUCACCAUUGCAAAGCACCAUCCAUUCAUCAUAGAUCCAAGUUUCCAUGUUGAUUAUGAUGGGGUUCACAUCUCCCUGGGAAUGCAGCAUGGUGCAAUGUUUGCUCAGCCCUCCUAAGAGCAUUUAUGGAGGCAAGGGUCUGCUCUUAUCUCUUAUCCACGUCAUGUCAUUUGUCCAGGCUUCAGGAUCAGAUCUGCCCUCUCAACUUUUAUUUUGCUGUUCUCACAUGGAUGUGCUUCUCAAAAUGUGGUCUUCUCAAAAGUAUAUGAUGGAAUAUGUGACAAAUCAGAAAUAUUUUUGAAUUCAAAUACAAUAUUUAAAUGCAACAUUUCUGGCCGGCGCCACGGCUCAAUAGGCUAAUCCUCCGCCUGCGGCACCAGCACACCGGGUUCUAGUCCUGGUGGGGGCGCCGGAUUCUGUCCCAGUUGGCCCUCUUCCAGUCCAGCUCUCUGCUAUGGCCUGGAAAUGCAGUGGAGUAUGGCCCAAGUCCUUGAGCCCUGCACCCUCAUGGGAGACCAGGAAAAGUACCUGGCUCCUGGCUUUGGAUCAGCGCGAUGCGACAGCCGCAGCAGCCAUUGGAGGGUGAACCAACGGUAAAAGAAGACCUUUCUCUCUGUCUCUCUUUCUCACUGUCCACUCUGCCUGUCAAAAUAAAUAAAUAAAUAAAUGCAACAUUUCUAGGGCUUGAAUUAAGGGAAUGUGGAGAGAUGAGGAUGCUAGUGUGAGUAGGGAUUAGGAUCUGAAAGGCCCAAUAAGUUUACUAAUGAUUUUGAAGUGUUCAUCUUUCCUGAAGUAUAGAGAAUGAGUGUCUUGGUUUGACUUGGGGGCAAAACUAGAGCCUAGGAAAGUGGUUAAGAUGGUGUAGGAAGCCAGGUGAAAGAGCAUGGUCACCCAGCCUCAAGAACUGUCAGUGUGAUCAGAGAAAAAUAGCAUUAUUCAAGUAAACUCUUAGUUACAAGGGACUGGGAACACAUGAAAUUAUCCAAAUCUUCACCAUAACAAACACAAGUAGAACACCUGCCCCUAUGAUAGAUGGUCUAUCUUGGAAAAGGUGAUCAUUUCCAGUAAUGCAGUUUUGAGAGCUAUUAGUUAUUUUUUUCCUUUUAACAGAAUUGAUUAAACUUUAUUGUAGGUGGGGAGAUAGAAGAAAUAAAGGAGAGACUUUAAAAUAGAGGAGAUAUUUAUCUUCUACCCUGUAAAUUUGAUAUUUGACUUAGGAGCAAAAGAAAGAUGCCAAGUUGCAUUUAAUGUAUGUGUCCAGCUCUGAGACUCCAAAUAUCAUGGUGUUGUACACACCCCAUGUAGGGUCAGAAUCUUCCAUGGUCUUUUUUGCAGGGAACGAUGAGCAUGGAUCAAGUCAGAAAAUCCAGCAGGACGAUUGAGGCCUGGAACUUUUGUCCUCUGGAUUUAAAAAGGCGUGAACACAUUUGGGACAUUAAUUUCAGACAGUAUGUUAGACAUAUUGCAUGAAGACAGCAUUGUUGGUUUAUAAAAGUGUAUUCAAAGUUUUUAAAGAAUCACAGAUAUAUUCCUAUAAUACUUAUUUUAGUGCCAUAAAGGUAUGAUAUUUUAAGGGCUUCUACAAGUUAAUUAAGGAGAUCUUUAUUCAACAUUUGACCAUAAUUAUUAUUUUUUGUGUGGCUGAUUUCCUCUUAUUAUCACUGUGGGUUACUGUUUGUGAUUUCAAAUAGCACAUUUUUAAAGACAAUUUUAUUUACUUAAAGAUGAAGAGGAACUUUGAUUGUCUGAGAUUGCCUGAAGCAGCCUUAAUAGUCAAAAAAGAUGGUUAGUGCUCCUGGAAAGGGAAAUGUAACCCUAGGAUUACACCCCUGAGAGAUGAUACUUCAAUUCAAAUUGGGAGUCGCAGAGUAAUUGCAGUCUGUGGUAAUGUAUCUUCAGCAUCUUGAAGUAGCUAUUAGAUGGGUAGAGCUUUCCCCAUGAGGAAUGAGAUUGUUCACUGGGAGAUAUCUUUUGCCUCUUCCAGACCACUAGAGCAGCUUUUGAACAAUGCACAGAGAAACACAAUACCCAUACAUGACAUUUUAUGGCGUGAUCUGAAAAUUAACUGAGAAUAAUUUCAUUCUUAUCUGUUGUGGACUGUGCUACAUGUAAAAAUAAAUAAGCAAAUAAAUAAAUACAUUAGUAUCUUGAAAGACUAUAUUCAGGUUAAUGUUUCUGCUCUAUAAUGAAUAUAAAAUUUGAAAUUCUUAGAGACCUUUCUUAGUGUACAGGUAAGUCAGUGAAAAAUUCUACACAUCAUGAGUCAUUAAAUGCAUUGUAUAUGUACUCUUUACAGAAAAACAUUUAUAGAAUAAAAAAUAGACUGCCAUUUUUUUCUUUUCCCUGUAGGUAAACAGUGACUGGCAGAAGACCAUGAGAUUUUUUUUUUUUUACUAUUAAUUGUGCAAAUUGAGCCACUGGUUUUCUUAAAUAUCCAGUGAAUGGGGCUAUUUGACUUUUAAAUUUUUUUGGUUAAAAUUUUUGAUACAAUUUUCCUUGGUUAAAAUUCAGACAAGAAGUAGCAGAAGUUGGUUUAAAAAGACCUUGGAAGAAAGUCAGACUCAUGGAGGGUUGUGAAGCACAGAGAAAUGACAUUGAGGAGGAAAGUAGCAGGUGGGAGACCAACCCCUCCUGAGGGGCAGAGGCUGCAGAAAGAAUAUGGGUUCCUUUGUCUCCCAGAACUGAUGGAUGGUGAGCUAAUCUCAGAGAGCCCUGUCAGGAGGGGAGGACCCAGCCUGAGAUAAGAGAUCCUGGCUGUGAAGGUGAUUAUGAAAAUGUCAUGCCUGGAGUGAUAACAAAAGCCAAGUAAGAAGACUAAGCAUCAUGAGAGAAUGGGUUUUAAAUCAAGUUGGUAGAACAAGAACAAAAAUGACAGACAGAGAGCAAGGUUGAGUGAUCAAGGAGACUGGGGCAAUAUAAGGAAGAACUAGAUGUACUACAGUUUGAUCUGAUCAGAUCAGGAACUAAAUUUGUAAUUGCUGACAGGCAGCCAGGCAGUUGAUGUAGAGAUUCUUGAACACAGUGGUAACUUGGGUUCACCAGAAGACAGGCAAGGACUUGAUAUCAAGAACACAAUGUCAAGGAUUUCAGCCAGGUGGGCCUUCCUGAGUCUGUGAAUUUAAGACAUUGGGAGACAGAUGCAGUGGCUACAGUGCUGGAAAUCACGCAAUGUUAACGGUAGCACUGCUAUAGAAACUGAGGAGUAGGACAGAUUCAUUCAAAAAUUAUGCAGUGAGCACUAAUCUUGAGAUGAGUACAAUGAAUGGUAUACAAAAAAUAUAUUAUGGCUUUCUCUUGUGCUCAGAGAUCUUAAAAUCUUGUACAGAUACCACCAGUGGCCACACCUUCCCCAACCAAACUAAACCAAACAAGGGGGGAUAGUUUGCAAUGCUGCUGAUAUAUGCUUUUAUGCUCACUUUGCUUUUUGACAGGUGGGCUUCAGUUCCCAGUGAGCUUGACCUGGAGACUGGCAUGCAGCAAGUAUUUUGACAGUUAUGACAGUUCUGGGAAAAGUGAUUGCUCAGUGGACAGGAAAUAGAUUGAGGUAUUUUCUUGACAUUGAUUCUAAUUUAGCACUUGUGCAUGUUGUCAAUGGUUUUUGAGCAAUGCAAUAAGUAGUACUGGAAUCUUCUCCUUGGCCAUAUCAAGCACUAGGUCCAGGAUGAAACUUUAUGAUAGGUAUUUAGUAUGAUAUGACUCACAGGAGAAACACAUUUGAUUUGUUUUAAGGGAAUCCAAUAUAAAAUUAGUUUGUGUGUAAUUUAGGCACUUUUUCUGGUGUUCGUUUGAAGGUGAUUGUAUUUGUUCUUUUUGUUAAUGACUUAUUUAUUUGAAAGACAAACACACACACACACAUGCACACACACACAGAGAGAAAGAGAGAGAGAGAGAGAGAGAGAGAGAGAGAGAGAUCACCAAAUGUCUGAAACAGCCAUGUGGAUGGCAGGAACUGAACUACUCAAGCCAUUACUGUUGCCUCCCAAGUUGCACAUUAGCAGAAAGCUGGAAUUGGAAGCAGAGCCAGGACUGGAACCCACUCACUCCCAUGUGGGACGUCAGCGUUCCAAGUGGCAUCUUUUUUUUUUUUUUAUUUUUUUGUCAGGCAGAGUUAGACAGUGAGAGAGAGACAGAGAGAGAGUUAUAAACAGUGAGAGAGAGAAGAAAGGUCUUCCUUCUGUUGAUUCACUCCCCAAAUGGCCGCUAUGGCUGGCGUUGCGCCAAUCUGAAGCCAGGAGCUGGGUACUUCCUCCUGGUCCCCCAUGUGGGUGCAGGGACCCAAGCACUUGGGCUAUCCUCUGCUGCCCUCCUGGGCCACAGCAGAGAGCUGGACUGGAAGAGGAACAACCGGGACUAGUACCUAGCACCCAAACCAGGACUAGAACCCUAGGUGCUGGCGCCACAGGCAGAGGAUUAACCAAGUGAGCCACUGUGCCUGCCCCAAGUGGCAUCUUAACUGCUAUGUCAAAUACUCGCUCCAGGGGGACUGUCCAUAUACAGAGGGCCCCUAUACAGUAGUCCUCAGUCUCCACGAGAAACCCAAGCCUGGCUGGCAGGAGGUCUGUGUCACUGUUCAGAUUUUCCCCUGUGUGGCUUUGGGGACAUCACAUAAUCUGUGUUUGAACUUCUUGUCCAUAAGUGCACCCUGGGCUGGAAGACAGUUCAGAACUGGCAACAUUUCAGCUGAGUGGACAGAGCUCAAGAUAGGCACUUGAAGGCAAAAUCUGAAAUCACUGUUUCCCUCUUUACUGCACAUUUCCCUCUUUACUGCGUGGCUCCCACUUUGCUCUUCCUAUUCUCUUUAUCCUAGGAAAGAUGCUGACAUCUUUUUGAGACUUCCAGAAGGGAUUAUGGGAGGGGUUUGACAUCUUUUUCUGGAGCGAUAAGAGAGUUAAAAAAAAUGCGCUGUCUUGUUAUGGGGCUGAGUUUGAUUUUUUGUAGAAUAAACAUGGCCAUGGUCCCAGAGGUUGAAAUAUGACAUAUUAUUCUGUGUGUUUUUUUUAAAGAUUUAUUUAUUUAUUUGAAAGUCAGUGUUACACACAGAGAGAAGGAGAGGCAGAAAGAGAGACAGGUCUUCCAUCUGCUGCUUCACUCCCCAAUCGGCUGCAAUGGCUGGAGCUGCGCCGAUCUGAAGCCAGGAGCCUCUUCCGGGUCUUCCACACGGGUGCAGGGGCCUAAGGACUUGGGCCAUCUUGCACUGCUUUCCCAGGCCAUAAUAGAGAGCUGGAUAAGAAGUGGAACAGCUGGGACUUGAAUCAGCGCCCAUAUGGGAUGCCAGCACUGCAGGAGGUGGAUUUACCCACUGUGCCACAACACUGGCCCUGACAUGUGAUUUUUUUUCUUUUCUUUUCAAAUUUUAUUUAGUAGAUAUAAAUUUCCAAAGUACAACUUUUGAAUUAUAGCAGCUUUUCCCCCUUAACCUCCCUCCCACCUGCAACCAUCCCAUCUCCCGCUCCCUCUUUCAUCCCAUUCUUCAUCAUGAUUCAUUUUCAAUUAUCUUUAUAUACAGAAGAUCAACUUAGUAUUUCAACAGACUGCACCCACAAAGACACACAAAAUAUAAAGUACUGUUUGAAUAGUAGUUUUACCAUUAAUUCUCCUAGUACAACACAUUAAGGACAGAGAUCCUACAUGGAGAGCAGGUGUACAGUGACUCCCAUUGUCGAUUUAAUAAUUGACACUCUUAUUUAUGACAUCAGUAAUCACCUGAGGUUCUUGUCAUGAGCUCCCAAGGCUGUGGUAGCCUCUUCAGUUCACCAACUCUGAUCUUAUUUAGACAAGGCCAUAUUCUAAGUGGAAGUUCUCUCCUCCCUUCAGAGAAAGUGGUCCAUGGUAUCUCAUCGUAAAAGUCAGAUCCUGAAUUGAAGAUCAAUUUAUAUAAUUUCCCUGACUGACAAUUCUCAAGGUCUUCCAACCACCUUGAAGGUAGAGUGGACAGUGAGAGAGACAGACAGAGAGAAAGGUCUUCCUUUUCCGUUGGUUUACCUCCCCCGCAAUGGCCACUGUGGCCAGUGCACGGUGCUGAUCGGAAGCCAGGAGCCAGGUGCUUCCCCCGGUCUCUCAUGUGGGUGCAGGGCCUAAGGACAUGGGCCAUCCUCCCCUGCAUUCCCAGGCCACAGCAGAGAGCUGGACUGGAAGAGGAGCAACCAGGACAGAAUCUGGCCUCCCGACCAGGACUAGAACUGGGGGUGCCAGCACCGCAGGCGGAGGAUUAGCCUAUUGAGCUGCGGCGCCGGCCCUAUAUUUUAAAUAAAAUAUUUUCUUCUAUAGUUUUUCUCACUACUGUUGUUUUAUAAAUAGAAUAUACUUAUAUAUAUAUUUAUUUUAUAUGACUUUAUCAUUUUUAUUUUCUAUGAUUUUAUUAUUGAUUUUGUAAUAUCAACUGAAUCCUCUAUUUCUUCUUACAGUUUUUCAGUUCAUUCUAUUGUUAUAUUAUUGACAAACAAAAAAAUUUUUCUGCUUCUUUCUGAUGUUCAUUACCUCUAUUUCUAUAUCUUAUUGUUAGCAUUUUCGAAAGUUGUUAGCUUGUAAUUAACAAGACAGACUGUUAUUCCUGUCUCUAAUAAUAGAAGAUACUACUAGUAUUUAAUCAUCAAGUAUAGUACUGGAAUUUGGUUUGGGAAGCAUAAAGUUCAGAGAACAAUCAUUUCUAAUUUUUUAGAUGCCUCAAAAUAUCAGAAAUCCAUGUUAAAGAAUAUUGUGAUUAAUGUUAUCAAAGCCUCUUUCGGAAAUGAGGAAACAAUCAUAAUGAUAUUCUUCCUCCUUUGACCCAUGAAUGCUGUUUUUAAUAUUAAUGUUCAACUACUCUUUAAGUCUUUAAAAUUAUUUAUCAGAGAGAGAGAGAGCAGGAGAAAGAGAGAGAGAGAGAGAGAGAGAGAGAAAGAUUUCCAUCUGCUAUUUCAUGCCCCAAAUGCACAUAAGAUCUGGUGCUGAGCCUUGACGAAGCUGGGAGUGAGGAUCUAAAUCCAGGUCUCCCAUGUGAGUUGCAGGGCCCCCACUACUUCAGCCAUUAUGUCCUGCCUCCCAGGGAGUGUGUUAGCAGGACAAUAAGAACAGGAGCCGAGCUGAGUAUGAAUCUGGAUGUUUCAAUGUGGAAUGUGGCAUCUUAACUGAUGUCUUAAUAAGUAAGCUAAACAUCUGCCCUUGUUCUUGCGUUCUUAAAAUAAAUCUCAUUUAGUCAUUAAGUAUUUUUUGUUAUUAUAAUGUGCCAUUAACUCAAUUUGAUAAAAUACUAUUAAGACUUUUUAUAUUCCUAUUCAUAUGUGAGUUUGGUCUAUAGUGUUAUCUUGGCUGUUAUGUCUUGUAUUAGGCAGUUUUUUUGUCACUAUAAUGAAAUACUAAAAGAAGAUGUUUAUGAAGGAAGAUGGCUUAUUUUGGCAUAUAGUUUAUAUAGUUUUGGAAGUUCUACUUCUGAGACUGGGAAGUCCCCAUUUGUGAGGCUGGAGGAUGGUAAAUGUACAAUACAUGUGGAGCAAUGAUCUCACGGAGAACCAGGAAGCAGAGUGAUUUGGCCAAACCGGCUUUUAUAAACAGCCCUCUUGUAAGAGUUGCCUUUCUUGGGUGUGUCCCCAGUGAUCCAUGGGCUUCCUAUCAAGCCCACCACUUGCACAACAUUAUUGGGUCAAGUUUACAUGCUUUAAUAACAUAUAAUUUAUGACUUUGAUAUUUAAGGUACUAAAAUAUGUCCAAACAAUAGCACAUAUUGUGCAUUUAUUUGUACCAAAAUGUUUGUAGCUUCAUAAAAAUAAUCUGAAUUCUUUUCUUCUUUUCCUAUACAUAACACAAGCUAAAUAGUAUUGGAAAUGCCUGCUCCUUGCUGAGUUGUUAAUAUUUCCCUGCAAAUAGUUUGGGUUAGAUAGUGCUUUGAGAGGGGUUAUCUCUUGGAAUAUCUAUCAGUCAUUUUUGUUAAAUGACAAGUGAUGUGUCUAGCUAUGAAGGAUCUUGUCUGAGGAUAGUUUUGAUAAUGUAAACUUUUUUGGGGAGAGAUUCUUCCAUUUCAUUCCAGUUUUAAAGUUUAUUUGCAAGGGAUUAAGCAAUAAAUACAACAUUUUAAAAUUUUCUCUAUAACUGUGAUUGUGUAACCUUGUAUUUCUAAAUUUUGCUACUUGCAUGACUCUUUUUCCUCCUGACUAGGGUAUUGCAAUGAUUUAUAUACAAUUGACCCUUCUUGUCUGAGUGUUUUGCUUUCAUGAUUCAACCAACUGCAGAUCAAAAAUAGCCAAGAGCAAAAAGUUGCAUCUCUGCUAAGUAUGUAAACUUUUCUUUCUUAUCAUUAUUUCCUAAGUGAUACGGUAUAAAUACUAUUCAGAUAGAAUUUACAAUGUACUAGACAUUAUUAAGUAUUCUAGAAAUUAUUUAAAGUAUAGAAGAAAGUGUGCUUAGGUUACAUGCAAAUACUAUUCUGUUUUAUAUAAGAUUCUAAGCAUAUGCAAUGUUAGUGUCUGUUGGGGGACCUGGAACCAAUUCCUGUGUGUACUGAGGGGCAAGUGUAUAGCAGUUUAGCAGAAUAUCAUCCCUGUACAUAAGAUAAUUGUGAGGGCUAUGAAUCAAUAUUAUAUGAUGCUAGUUUGGAUGGCACACUCUAAAGAGUAGUUAAGUAAAAUGAUGUUUGCAGACGAACAACACUUUGAAGUGAAUUUAUAUUAAAUGAAUAAGUGAAAUGAAUUUAUAUUAAAGCAAUUAGAUUCAGACAUUUGAUGUUUUAAUUAGAUUACACUAGAUUGUCUACUACCAAACAUCUGCUCAGCUUCAAAUUUACUCAUUGAAAACUGUCAGUGUGCCAGGUUUGAGAAAUACAAAGGAAAAGUAAGAAAAGAGAACUUAAAGAUUCUGGUAUGUAAACAUGAAAGCUGAAUAAACAGGCAUUCAGAAUGCAGUUUGGUAACAGUGGUAGUAGAAGCAGAUGUUCCUACGAGGGAGCUAAGAAGGGAAUGUACAAGCAGCUCUUACACUAGACUGAGAUGAGACAUGUAGAGAAAACAUGUAGGGGAGACAUCAAAAUGCUUGAGUGAAGUCUUAAGGGACACAGAGGAAUCAUCCAGGACAAGAGGUAGCCUUAGAGAACAGUGAAUUCUGCUACAGAGGCUGGUAGGGAGCACCAGCAGACACAUUUGGGGACAGUUGCAAAGCUGGGGUGACAGUCAUGGAGGUCAGUAGAGGUUUCAAGGAGUGAGGAGAAGGAACUGGCAGGGACAAGAGCUCAAAGAGAUCCCAGCACAUCUUGUUAUUCAUGGAGCUAGGGUCUUGUCCAAGGAAGAAAUACAUGGUAGGUUAUACUGGCACACUACAAGGAAUGGUCCAGAUGCUUGCAAUGAAUGAAAAGAAAAUUAAUAAAAGAAUGAAGAUGGUGGCAGUGAUGAUAGAGACAAAGCUUGUGAUAGUAAUCCAGUGAGUAGGCAAAGUCUUAACAAGAGAUCAAAUUUCAGGAUGAGGGAGAGGAAUAGAUCCACAAUGACCCUUAUGUUAAUGACUCUGUUAGCCUGAUUCCUCAUGAUAUGAAGGCUUGAUGAGAAGUAGUAUCAGAGUAGAAAUUAGUUUCGUUUUCACAAAAUUUAUUGUGGGUUGGUGACUGUGAAAGAUUCUACAAAGAUGGCCUUCCAUUGGGAAUAAUCACAGCUGGAAAUAGAAAUUUGAGCAUCAGCAGCAUAAAGGAGAAGCAACAUCCUAUGAAAGGAGAAUACCCAAAGAAGUUCUGCUGUGGUAAGAAGAACAUAGGCAUGCUUUGAGGCACUCUGCCAUUGAAACAAAGAGUGGAGGAAGAAACACUCUUAGGAGGCUGGGAAGGCAUAUCCAACCAAACAAGUGGAAAUAGAUGAGAGAGAGGGGGAGGGAAGGAGAGACGGAGGUGGAAGAGAGAGAGAAUGAGAGAGAGAAAGAGAGAAAGAAGAGGAGAGAGAGAGAGAAAAUAAAUUUGAAAUUGCAGAAACUUCAAUACAUUUGGAUUGAACAGUAUACAUUGGCUGAGUUAACAAAGAAGACAUAGGGGCAAUCAUGGAAGUCCUCAGAGUAGUGGGGCAGAGAGAGUGUGCAGUGGACUGCAGCGUAAGUAAAGGGGCCGUAGGAAAGUAGACAGUGAUAAAGUUUCCCAUACAUUGAGUGUGAGUAAAAAGACAAAGUAGUCAGGGAGAGGAGCAAGGAAAAUUUAGUGGAAGAAUGGUGAGGUUGAACGUUACAUUUACUUACCAACUGAAAGUGAAAUUGCUUAAUGUAUCUUGAAGUUGUCCCCUUUUCUCCAUCCACAGUUAAAUGAUCUUAGCCCAGCUUCCUCAUUUGGGACCUGUUGAAAAUAAUAUAUCUGUUACAAUGAUAAAUCCAUAAUCAUGGGUUUCCAUUCCCUUCCUAAUCCAAGAAAUGUAUUGUAUGGGAAAGUCUGGAAGAUCUGUUUUUCUCCGGUUGGUUUUUAAUGACUAGAGAUGGUUGAGAAUGUGAAUUGAUGGGAGAAAAAUUCAAACUCUAGUGAAGAUGCAAAGAUUAUGAAUUCUAUGAAAAAGGGGUUUAAAGAGUAGAAAUCUGUAGCAAGGGCAAUAAUUAGCUUCAGAAGAAAGGAAUUUCCUACUCUCGAAUAAUAACAAAGUGGAUAAGGAAGAGCACAUUUACUAGAAGGGGAGAAAGAACAAAAGUUGAGAUAGCUAUUUUAUUAAUUUGUUUAACCCUUUGCUCAUACAAUAAGCAUUUAGUUACUAUCAUAACUGCUGAUACUUUGUGAUAAAUGUCUAUUAAAAGUAUGACGCAACAGCAAAAAUAUUUACUGUCUGUUGGGCAUAGAGAAACCCAAAUAGAACAUUGCACAGAAUGACAUUGGCUGUCAAUAAGGCAACUGUGUGACCAGAGCUCCACGGCACAGAACACUUACAACUAGAUUGGAUCAGGGAUAUGCUUGAAAGGAAAUCUGUCAUUACAUGUGCAAAUGAUUAAGAAAAUGAUUUAGAUGUAGGGAAUGGCAUCGAUAUUCAGUAUAGGGACAUCUGAGUAUUGUUCAUUAAUUCUCACAAAUAUGUUAAUAUGAGGUGUUAACAGAGUAAAUGCGGUGAGAGGUAUAUGGGAACUCUUUAUAGUACUACCUCAGAAUAAAAAGAAUUCAGUGAACAAUUCAACUUGUUGUUCCCAAAGAUCACACUUAAUGAUUCCGUGAGCCCAGUGAGAGUUGCAUUGAACAUGGACAGAAAAAGGACCAACUGGUGGGGGAACUGUGAAGUCACAGUGGAGCUGUGGGCAGUGGCACAGGAAUGAGGAGUGAAAGUGGAGAGACCACCUUCUUAAGUGAAUUCUCCUCAUCCAGCCCUCAGUGAGGCUUCCCUAUUCCCAUAGGUUUUAUAGCAUAAUCCUUCAGGCAGCACUACACCAGCUGAGUAUAAUUUGGAGAAAAUUAACCUCUGCUACAAACCUCUAUCUCUGCACCUACACAUAAUCAAAGCCCAGAUUCAGUCAAAGACAAAGGUGUGUGUUCAGUACCCAGCCAUCCCAAUGCUUUGCUGUUUUACUACUCAGAAUCUCAGACAUUCCCCUUGAGGUAGCUGAUCUCAACUUCUUGGCCAAAUUCACUUCUCACCUGUGACCCAUGUUCACAUCAAGGAAUCAGUAAUGCCUGUACAUUUUGGAGGAUGUCCAAUUUAUGGGUUUAUGUAUUUUUUAUUUGUACAUUAAAAAAUAUUUAAGGCAAACAAAUUUCAUAUAUACAGAUUUAGGAACAUAGUGACAAUUCCCACCCUACUCUCCCUCCCACCCUCGCUUCCACCCUUCCUUAAAGGAUCAAAGUCUUGUAAUCCAUAAGCUGUACUUUGGAAAUUUAUAUUCAGUAAAUAAAAGUUUGAAAGCAAAAAAAAAAAAAAAAAAAAAAAAAAAAAACAAAAAAAAGAAAAGUGGACUAAAAAAAAAAGGAUCAAAGUCUUGAGUAAAACUAAGCAUGUUUUAAGUAAAAUUUUUGAUAUCCAUGAGAAGGGGGAGUGGUCCUCCCUCAGUAAUCUUUGGUACAUUGACAACUUUCUUAAAAAUAGGGUUCCCUAAGCUUAUUAUCUAAAUGUGGGCUGAUUAGCCUUGAGAAGUAGUCCUGAUUUUCCUGUUCCUGCCAUGCAUGCCUAUUUGUGUUGCUAACAUUUGCCUUUUUGUUUCUUUUUAGAAACUUCAUCAUUAUUCAAAAAACUGUCAUUUGAUAAUCAUUUUUGAUAGUGUUAACUGUGUCCUUUCCAAGUAAAUCUCCUUAGAUUUUUAAUUUGUGGUGAGAGUCACAAAUUGGCUGGUCAGAGGUGGGAAUUUCAGGCCCUGUAGGAAGGGAAAGUGUUAGGACAGAUCAGUGGGUAAACAGGUUUCAUCUCCCUGAUUUCACUCCAUAUGCUCCAUUUACUCAGCACAGGCAUGGGGCCAACCUUGAUUAGCACAACUUGACCUCAUGUUGGUCUUGGUAUUCUUUGUUGGAGAAAAACUCAUCUCACUGGAGCAAUUAUGUGCCUUGUCAACAAUGAAAUGUUUACUACUUGUUUGUUAAUUCAUUAGUUAUUGCUUGUAUUGUCAUAUUUCCCAUAAGUAUACAAAACUGUAGGAAAUGUAAAAAAAGCAUUUGACAUGUUCUUUUUUGAUUAGGCUGCAUCAUAAAGUGUUAUAUUGGGUAUAAUUAAAUAUCAAAAUGUUUUUUUUUUUGUUUGCAGGGCAGCUAAAUUUGAGUAUUGUGAUAGACAUUUCUAUGGAUCAUCAAUAGUUCUCAUUGCUGUAUCCUAACUUGCUCCUUAGAGGAUUUAUAGCCAUUUGUCCCUUAAAGUUAAUACUGGGCAAGCACAUUACUUUGGAGACAAAAUGUGAGCAGAGACUAAUUUAUGGGAAAUAUUGUUUCAACAGUAGUGAAUUCUCCUGGCUUAACCCUGCACCAGGAAAAUGCCUUGUUGAGACGUCCUCAUCAUGAGUUGGUAAGCUCUGAAGUAUCUUGGAUCUUUGAUUGAUUGCAAUGAGCAGAGCCCCAAAAGGACCAGCAUUAGGUAAGCACCUUGCAUGAGAUUCAUAGCAGGUGGUUAUUAAAUAUUUUUCGAGCAAAAUCAUGCAUGCGUGAAUGAUUGUCUCUUAAGGAAAUGAGCCAUUUGGUGGAGUGAGGGGCCGGGGCAUGAAGGGAGGGAAGAUAAUAUUAGUCUUGGCCCUGAUAUUGGCAGAGUCUGUGUUUUUAUUCUGUAGAGCUAGCAUUCUAACAUUCAUUUCAGGAUCUUUAUAUUUUCUCUGUGAGAAAUAAGUAAAGGUUAGGUCUCAUUGGUAAUUAACUUGCUUAUGUAGAUUAUCCCUAAAUGAAGUAGAUGUCAAUCGUCCCAAUUUUGGUUCAAUGUUUUGAUCAAAUGUCUAUCCUUUAAGAAUUAUUUUUUGGGGCAGACAUUUGGCCAAUGAAUUAAGCUACCAGCAGGGAUGCCUAUGUCCCACACUGGAAUAACAGCUUCAGUUCCUACUUCCAGCUUCUGAUUACAGCUUCCUGCUAAGGCUGGGAGUCAGAGGUACUGGCUCAAGUGGCUGAGUGCCUGCCACCAAUGUAGGAGACUGGAGUUGAAUUACAGGCUCCUGGCUUUGGCUUUCUCCCCCAACCACUGUAGACAUUUUGAUAGUGAAUCAGUGAAUGUGAGCUCUUUCUGCAUCUGUCUGUGUCUGUCUACCUCUUUCUCUUUCAAAUAAAUAAGUAAAAUUGAAAAAUUUUUGAAAUUAAAAUGGAUCUUAUUUCUUAUGUAUUGUCCUACUAAGGAUGUAAUAUAAUACAUUGAUUAAAGCUUUGACUGAAAUACUUGUUUUAAUACAUUUUGAAUAAAUAAGGAUGCAUUUCACAGUAAAGAAACCACAGAAUCUGGGGCCGGUGCUAUGGCACAGCGGGUUAAUGCCCUGGCCUGAGGUGCCGGUUCGAGACCUGGCUGCUCCACUUCCGAUCCAGCUUUCUGCUAUGGCCUGGGAAAGCAGUAGAGGAUGGUCCAAGUCCUUGGGCCUCUGCACUCAUGUGGGAGACCUGGAAGAAGACCUAGCUCCUGGCUUUGGAUUGGCGCAGCUCCAGCUGUGGCGGCUAAUUGGGGAGUGAACCAUCGGAUGGAAGACGACUCUCUCUUUCUGCCUCUUCUCUCUGUGUAACUCUGACUUUCAAAUAAAUAAAUCUUUUUUAUUUAAAGAAAGAAAUCACAGAAUCUAAGAGCUGGAAGAAAGCUUGGGUGUUAUGCAUUUUAUUUCUUCACUGAGCAGGGAUACAGAAAUGAAAUGAUUCUGAUUCAGAGAAUGCAGUGGGAUGCAGAAUGCUGGUUUGGAUACUUAAUAGGUUACAUUUUCUGCUGUUUAAGUGGAAAACGUAUCACAAUCAUACUAACAGAAAUAAGUGAUACCUUUCAUCCCAGAUUUGAAAUAAUAAUAAUUAGAGGACUUUAACUGCCAUUUCAAAUGUGCUACCUCCAGGAUUAGAUAAAAGGUAGAGAGACCAGGAAAAGCACCUGGCUCCUGGCUCCUGCCAUCGGAUCAGCGCGGUGCGCCGGCCGCAGCGCGCCGGCCGCGGCGGCCAUUGGAGGGUGAACCAACGGCAAAGGAAGACCUUUCUCUCUGUCUCUCUCUCUCACUGUCCACUCUGCCUGUCCAAAAAAAAAAAAAAAAAAAGGUAGAGAGAAUGUCUGCUGUUUCAUUAGUGAUUUUUUAAAACAAUGGCACAACUCAGAUAGCUAAAUGAUUUUUUAAGAAUUUUACUUGUUUAAAAAUAUUUUAUUAGUAUAGCAAGGACAGAUUUCAUCUACUGCAAAGAUACAAUUCUAAGAACAUAAGGAUACUUCUCUCCUUCUCUCCCUUCUAUUUCCUUCCUUUCUUUUUUUUAUUUCUGUGAUAACAUAUUUUUAAUUUACUUUAUAGUCACAGGCUCAAUACCACACUAAAUAUAAUGUUCAGCAAGUGAAAGAUCCCUAUUCAUCAGGAAUAUACUCAAGGGCUAUAAAUGAUAAUCAAAUCAUAACAUGUCAAUUUCAUUUCUAUACGUUCAGUUUUUUUUGUGUGUGUAUGUGUGUAUGUACUCUGUAUAUUAGCUACUACAAAUCCGAGAAAUCAUACAAUAUUUGGGGGCCAGCAUUGUGGCAUUGUGGGUUAAGCUUCUGCCUCUGAUACCAGCAUCCCUUAUGGGCACUGGUCCAUGUCCCAGCUGUUCCACUUCUGAUCCAGCUCCUUGCUAAUGGCCUAGGAAAAGCUGUGAAAGAUGGCCCAAGUGUCUGGGCCCCUGCCACCCACAGAGGAGACCCGGAUGAAAUUCCUGGCUGCUGGCUUCUACCUGGGCCAGCCAUGGCUACUGCGGCUGUCUGGGUAGUGAGCCAGUAGAUGGAAGAUCUCUCUGUCUUUCCUUAUUUCUCUGUAACCAACUUUCAAAUAAAUAAAUACAUCUUUAGAAAAAAACUCAAGAUAUUUGUCUUUUUGAGUCUAGUUUAUUUCGAUAAGCAUAAUCGUCUCCAGUUGCAUCCAUUUUGUUUCACAGGAAAGAUUUCAUUUCUUUUUAUGGCCAAGUAGUAUUCCAUCCUGUAUAUAUACAAUUUCUUUAUUCAGUUAUUAAUUGAUGAACUUUUGAGUUGAUUUCGUAACCUAACUCUCUUGAAUUGAGCUUCUAUAAACAUGGGGUACAGGCAACUCUUUAAUAUGUGAUUUCAUUUCCUUUGGGUAAAUUCUCAGGUCUGUGAUGACUGGGUCACAUGGUAGAUGCAUUUUGAGGUUUCUGAGGAAUCUCAAUACUGUCUUUCAUAAUAGUUGUACUAGUUAACAUUCCCACCAUUAGAGUAUUAGGGUGCUUUUCACCCCACAGCCUCAUCAGCAUUUAUAGUUGUUUGAUUUUUGGAUGAUAGCCAUUCUAACUGGGAUGAGGUGAAACCUUGUUGUGUUUUUUAUUAGCAUUUCCCUGAUGGCUUGUUAUCCUGAGCAUUUUUUCAUGUGACUGUUGGCCAUGUGUAUUUCAUCCCUUGAAACAUGCUUGUUCAUGUCCUUUGCUCAUUUCUUAACUGGGUUGUUCGUUUUGUUGUUGAGUGUCUUGAGCUCCUUCUAUAAUCUUGGAAUUGAUCCUUUACUAGAUGCAUAAUUUGCAAGUAUUUUCUCCCAGUUUGUUUGUUGCCUCUUCACUUUGUUGAGGGUUUCCUUUGGUUGUAGAAGCUCUUAACUUGAUGUAAUCCCAUUUGUCUAUUUUUGCUUUUAUUGUGUAUGCUUUUGGGUAUUAUUCAAGAAGUCUUUGUCUAAGCCAAUGUCUUGCAGGGUUUCUCUUAUAUUUUCCUCUAGUAAUUUGGUGGUAUCAGGUCUUAGACUUAGAUCCUUGAUCCAUUGUGAGUGAUUUUUGUAUAGGGUAUAACAUAGGGGUCUUGUUUCAUACUUCCACAUGUCCCUUCUGCAUGGAUUGAUUUUAGCUGAUUUGUCAAAGAUUAGUUGGUUGUAGAUGCUUGGAUUGAUUUCUGGGGUCUCUGUGCCAUUGGUCCACAUGUGUAUUCUUCUCCCAGUACCAGGCUGUUUGAAUUAUAAUUGCCUGUAGUAUGUCUUAAAAUCUGGUAUUGUGAUGCCUCAGGCUUUGUUUUUGUUGUGUAAGAUUUCUUUAGCUAUUUGGAGUCUCUUGUGUUUCCAUAUGAUUUUUAGCAUCAUUUUUUUCCCUAGAUAUGAGAAGGAUGCUGUUGGUAGUUUGAUUGGGAUCACACUAGGUUCACUGCAGCAGGCAUGACUCAAAGAAAUAUUUUUGAGUAGAAAUAGUAGAAUUUGUGCCUCAAGUAUUGUCAGGUCUGGAGCAGGCUCCCUGUAAUUAUUCGAUAAAUUGACACUAGGCUCAUUUUGUUUAAAAAAUUGACAAAUGGGGAAGCCAUAAUCUAUUGAGUGUAAAUUUUCUUUCAAAGUUACAGAUUAUGGAAGGGAAAACAUUGCAUUUCAAGAGUAUGUCGGGUGCUGUGGCUUAACAGGUUAAGCUGCUGCUUUCAAUGCCAGUAUCCUAUAGCAGGGUGCUAGUUUGAGUCCCGGCUGCUCUGCUUAUGAUCCAGCUCCCUGGGAAUCUGCCUGGGAAAGCAGGUCCUGCCACCACGUGGGAGAUCUGAAUGCAAUUCCAGCCUCCUGGCUUCAGCCUGAUCCCCAGUGGAUUUAAGAUCUCAAUCUCUCCCUCUCUUCCCCUGCUCCUUCUUCUACCACUGUCACUCUACUUUUCAAAUAAAAUAAGGAAACACAUUUUCUAAAAAAAGAGUAUGUAAAAUGUAAAUGUAGAUGGAAGUAUCUUUUUGUGUCUGAAGCAAAGGUGCAAUGGGAAAGAAGCAAAAGUAGCAAUUGCAGAAAUUGAUUCUUAUGUUUUAUAAAUCAGCUUAAUUGUGCAAUUAGCAGUUGAGUGGGUGAUCUUUCCUUUUCUCUUAAUUUGAUUGACAAAUUUGUUCUUGAGUGCAGCAGAAUAAGUGUUAUUUCCAUACACAGAUUAAAAGAAAGAUUUGCCCCUCUUUUGAUUGGUGUCAAAUAAAACACUAUUUUUGAUAAUCUUAAGAAUUGUCUGUUGGAGUAAUAUGAAGAUCAUGUGAAAAUCAUCUUAAUAAGCUAAUCAACAUCUGCUCUCUCUUUUAUUGAAAAUCACAUUUAUUGAAAAUCAAAAUUUCCCAUUAGUUUAUCAGAUGACUAAAAUGAAAGACACAUAGAAAGGCUAUGGUUCCGAGUUGCUUCCCAUGGUUUUAGUAGGACACUAUUUUGUGCUAGAGCAUCUUCUACUUAUUUGAAUGUCCAUGCUGACCUCCCCUAGUAUCUUGGAUGAGGCAUUGCUGAGAGCAUGACAUUAGGUAUAACAGAGGAGCAUUUUUUCCAUUAAUACUGCAUCCACAGGAGAAUAGCGCAGAGGCAUCUGAAGUAUAAGGGCCUUCAAAAGAAAAGAAUUCCCUUAUUAUUUUUAUCCAAAUCACAGAAAUUCACAGCUAGAUGAGUUUCUUGCAAGGAGACAGUGUUCUACCAGAGUUAUCUGUGCCAUGUAAAUGUCGCUGCACAGAUUUACUUAUGGCACAUGGGGGUGGUGUGUAGUAGUUGCUAGCUCAGGGUUAGGCAAUGUGUCAGGUUCUGAAAGAGGCAGACAUCUAUCCUCACAAGGGCCACUGAGCCCAAUGUUAUUUUAAGGAUAUCAGAUCCCUUACCAGAUUCUUCUAUCAUGUUUAUAAAUACAACAAAUAAGUGAUCUAGCAGAUAUCAGGUGAUGUCACUAUGGAAUUUUUCAAGUAAAGAAUUGUGGUGGUACUGAAAAUUGUUUCAAAUGCAUAUAAUGAAAUAGUUUUGUGCUGUCCCAUGUUGUAACCUUACAAUAUAUUUAUAGCCUCAGUGAAUAGUUACUCCCAUAAUCAUUAUGUGUGUUCUUUUAAUAAACACAAAUAAAUAUUGUCAUCUAUAAUGACAUAAUCAACAAUUACAAAAAUUGUGGAGCAAAUGUGUGAGUAUGGGAACUCUUCAGUAUUUAUAAGUCCGAUAAAAAGGAGCUCUUCUAGAUGUUUAUCAAGCAGAUGGUGAAAGAAUUUGGAGUAAAGAGAGUAAUAUUUACACAGUGAGUUUAAAACAUUUUAAUUUGUAUUCAUCUUUUUAUGUUAUUUCUUAACAUUUGAAUGAUUUUAUACUACUAUAUAAAUGUAAAAAAUGUAUAUUAAUGUAUGCUUGAGGAGACUUCAAAGAGUUCUUGGAAACAUGUCACUAAAAGAUGAAGUGAAUUUUUCAAGAAUAUUUUGAAACCUCCUUAUUUAUAUACAUAUGUUUAUAGAUGUGUAUGCAUGUAUUCGUGUUUAGGAUUACACAGAAAUAAAAAUUAACUAUUUGUAUUUAUGUGUAAACAUAUAAAUUAUUGACAUAAUUUUAUAUAUAAUAAAGUAUAAUGAACUUUUAUAUAUAAUAGGCUACCAUUUGUACCAUGUAUAUAAUUAGCAGCAUUAGUAUGCACACACAUUAUCACCUGCUCCUCCAACCCUGCAUCUCUAUGCAACAUUUUCUAUUCUUAGUAUUAAACUUCCCUCACUUUCCUGUGAUAUUCUUUAUUAUAGGAAAGAGGACAGGGGAAAUAUAUAUUUUUGUUUUAACAGCAUCCAUAGGGAAGCGCUCAAUUUUGAAGCCCCUAAAAGCCAUGCAACACUGUUUGAAUAAAAACACAGUGACUUCCAGGUAUUGAGGAUGCUCCUUAUUAAGACAAAUCCAUUGCAAAACCCAUUAUGCCUUUCUGCACAUCUUCAGUCUUUUGAUAGAUGUUAUGAUUUAUCAAUAAGAUUGUCACCAAGAUGAUGACAAAAACUCUGGCUGUACGGGCAAAAAUCCUCAUCUGAAAGAGGAUUGCUUUCUCCACCUGAAUGUAGUUAAGCAGGGCUCAAGGGACACAUAUCUUAUGCGUGAAAUCAAUACGGUAAUGUUACCUUGUAUACUUUGGCUUAUUUCUCCUUCCUGUUGUUGUUGUUCUUCUUCUGUUCUUUCUUCUGAUAACAAAUUGAAACAUUUUAGGGAUAUGCGAUUGUAUCUAUGUAGCUCAAACUAAUGCCUACUGAGAUAAGGAAUGGAGCAAUUAAGCAUGAGGGCAAUGGGACUAGCACUAUAUGUGGAACCAGCAUACCUGGGAUCUAGGGUUGGCUUCGUCAUUUAAAGUUGUGUGAGUUUGUUAAAGCAAUUUUCUCUAAGACAAUAGGACACCAUUUCUUCACCAUGUAAAUCAUUACAUUUAUUUUUUGCAUGACUAGGGAAUAACCUAGACCAGGAGAUACCAAAUACGGUUUGUGGACACUGAUGGGCUCAAGACAUUUUAAGGGGGCAGCAAGGUCAAAAACUUCUUUCAGAAGAAUAUUAAAAUCUGCAUGUCUUUUUCACUGAGAGUGCAGAAGUAAUGGACUGUAAAACUGGUGACACCCUAGUCUGAAUCAAGGCAGUGUUAGCAAAAUGAAGUAGCUGUCAUUGGAUCCCUCACUGCCUCACAUUCACAAUGUUAAAAAAGAAAUGCUGGUUUCACUUGAGAACGUCUUUGACAAGGCAGAAAAAAUUAUUGAUUUUAUUUUUAACAUGCUAGUGGUAGUGUGUGAUUGUUUCUGGAGGGAAGACAGCUGUGUGAUUGAGUUGUGAGCUGAACUAGUUGCUUUUUCAUGGAACAGAAAUUCUGCCUUAAGGAAUGACUGACUGGCAAUCUACAGUUUUCAGACUUGGAUAUUUGGUAUAAAUUUCUCUUAAAAUAUGAAUAUGGGAGCUUGUCAGUUUAGGAAAGUAUUUUUACCAAUGAUAAAAUUAAAGACUGCAAAGAAAAAAAUUAUUUUGGAAAGCUGGUCUUUGCCAGCAUCAUUCUGUAUAAAGGCUGUAUUGUUAAUAUAGUGAUGGUAUUAAUAAAUGUGAUUUUAACAUAAUGAGUUAUAAUUUUUCUAUUUGGAAGAUCAAUACAACUAAUAUGUGUAAAUGACCAGUGGGUUGGGCAUUUGGCUUACUGGUUGAGACACCAGUUCAAAUGCCUACAUCUCAUGUCUGGGUUUGAUUUCCAACUUUGUUCCUGAUUCCAGGUUCUUGAUAAUGCAGACCCUCAGAGGGAGCAGUGAUGGCUCAAGUGAUUGGGUUCUUGCAACUUACAUUCCCAGGUCCCAGCUUCAGUCCUGGCCAACACUAGCCAUCAUGGACAUUUAGGGAGUGACCCAGUUUAUGGGAGUUCCAUCUCUCUAUCUCUCAGAAAGAUAAAAAUUAAAAAAACUAUCCUCAAUGGAGUUUUAUUGUAGUAUCAGAAGAAGUAUCAAUUCUUUCUCUUUUUUUUUUUUUCUUGACAGGCAGAGCAGACAGUGAGAGAGAGAGAGAGACAGAGAGAAAGGUCUUCCUUUUUUUGCUGUUGGUUCACCCUCCAAUGGCCGCUGUGGCCGGCGCGCUGCUGCCGGUGCACCGUGCUGAUCCGAUGGCAGGAGCCAGGUACUUAUCCUGGUCUCCCAUGGGGUGCAGGGCCCAAGUACUUGGGCCAUCCUCCACUGCACUCCCUGGCCACAGCAGAGAGCUGGCCUGGAAGAGGGGCGACCGGGACAGAAUCCGGCACCCCAACCGGGACUAGAACCCGGUGUGCCGGCGCCGCAAGGUGGAGGAUUAGCCUAGCGAGCCGCGGCGCCGGCCUAUCAGUUCUCUUAAACAGGUGUUGAGUAUUCCACUCUUUUCCAAAUGCACAUUGGUAUGAGACUGAAUUUUAAAAUACAAACCUUCUAUAUAUUCUUGACAUACUGUAUUAAGAAUACCUGUAUAUUCUUGAUAUACUUUAAAAAGUAUAAAUGGGUACUUUCAAAAGCAAUCUAUCAGAUUAGAUUGAAUAUAUAGUCAAAUAUGAGUCCAGUUGUCCUCUAUUAAGCCAGAUAUUAGAGAGAUUUUUAAAAAUGUAAAACAAUAACAAAUUUACUUUUUUAUUUUGCUUGGGACAUAUAAUUGUUACGAAACAUUUGUAUUAAAAUAUAAUAAGAUAAUCAUUGUUACUUUUGAAAAAAUAUAAUAGUUUAAUAAAAAUUAUUUUAUUCAUUUGAAAGGCAGAGAGAGAGAGAGAGGAGAGAGAAAGAGAGAGAGAGAGAGAGAGAGAGAAAGAAAGAGAGAGAUAUUUCCCAUUUCCUAGUCCAGAACCCUAAUGCCAGCAACAGCAAGGGAUGGGCCAGAUUGAAGCCAGGAGUCUGGAAAUCAAAGUACUUGGGCCAUCACCAGCUGCAUCCCAGGUUGCAUAUUAAACAGGAAGCUAAAACGGGGAGCAGAGCUGAGACUCUAAACCCAGGCAUUUGGAUAUGGAAUUUGGGCAUCUCCAGUGUGUCUUAACAGGUAAGUCUAGCCUUGUGCAAAUGGAAGCUUGGGUUCAAACUGGAUGAGUUUCUGUUGCAUAUAAGCCUUUUGUUGAAUAACUGUUAAGGGACAAUGGGAGAAGAAAAACUGCUUUUUCUGUCACUAACCUCUUAAAUUCAGAAUCUGGGUUUCUUGCCUAUGUAAAUCAAAUAUCAGUCAAGCUUGACCUGUUAGCUGUGGAACCCUAUAGGUUGUUAGAAUACAAAACUACUUCUCAAAGUUUGGUGAAUGUGUUACCCUGGGUUUCCUAAUACAGUAGGUACCCCUUCCCAUUUCCUCCUCUUCCUUGAUUCUCACAUUUCUACCGCUCAGAAAUUAAGAGAUAAUUUUGAGCACCAAAGCUGUAGAAUCCUGUCCCAGUCUGUCACUGUCCGCAGAGUAGCAGUUGUCAAAUAUUUUGAAUGUGACCCUGGAGUGAAUCCACACCCAACUCUUGCAGGGUUAAGUUCCUGGGUGGUCACUUACAGCCCUUGCUGGCUGCCCUCACAUUUUGCCCUUCCUGGAUAGCUCCUUCAUGUGAUCUUCCCAAUCUCUUCUAGGGCAAUAAGGGGUGAUGCCCCCCAUACUCACAAGACUGUGGUGGGUUACAUCUUGUGUAGUAAUAAAAGCUGAAAUUUAAAAAAACUCAUUUUAAAAUAAUCAGUCACAUUCCAUUUGGUAUGAAUCCAUAUCUGUCAAAAACUAGUCAUUAAUAACUACAUUUGUGAUUGCAAACUAAUAUUAGCCUCUAACACAUAAGAUUAGUACAAAGAUAUAAAAGGGGUUCUUGAGCAAUCACAGAAAUUACUACAUGACUAAGGGACCACUUGGCAACAAUUUUGAAAUAAUUUUGGAGGCGAUGUGAAUGUGUCUAUGACUAAUUAUGUAUGUGUAAUCAUAAAUGUACACACACAUAUAAAUAUAUAUAUAUUUAUGUGUUAGUUAUACUUAUGUGUCAGUUAUUUAUAAAUAUAUAUGUGUGUGUGUACUUAUGAAUAGAACACUUGGCAUUCUGGUCGGCACCAUGGAAAUGCAUAGAAAAAUGACAGUUUGUGUCAUAGAGAACACAAACAUCAAAAAGAAGAUUCUGUGAGUGGAUGCAGGAAACAGAAAUAUCAUUUACUGGAAAAUCAUCUGAAGAGAAAAAUAGCAGAAAUAAAGGAAACUCUAAACCCCAGUUUUUCAAAUAUAAAAAAGUAAAAUUUGUCAUAUUUAAUAGAAUUUAAAAUGGUAUUAUUAAGGUUGAUCAAUAUUCUCUCAGUUUAAAACUUUCUUUCCUUAAUAUCCUUUUUCCAUCCCUACUUCCAUCAAUUUCUCUUGGAAGUUGUACAACAUCAUACAGUAGUUUGUACUCACCUGUUUAAAAUAAAAACCAUAUCACACCAACCUGGAGAAGAAAAAUGAGUAUUAUUAUGCUUAUAAAAGAGUGCCAAGUGCUUUAUCAGCAUAAAGAGACAAUCAGGGAAGUAUCUAAUCAUUACCUUAAUGCAGUUUGAAAUAUUAGUAAGUCAAAGAUUGAGACAGAGAGUUAAUUCAGACAGAGGACCUAAUAAGCUUUCUAAUGUGUCUCAAAUGAACAUGAGAGGAGUGUGAUGUAUUAUGAAAAUAUUGAUGAGUUUUGCUGAGGGUCCUUGCUCAUCUGUGGAGCUGUCUUCAUGAUCCAAUGCCUCAGUCUAAUGAUAGGAGAAUCCUACACUGUUACUGCAAUGAAUGCUGUGGGUUUAAUAUCCCCCAACUUUUUAGUAUUCAGUAAAUUGAAGAACUACCUUUUGGCUUCAUCAAAUCACUCAGUUAUUUAUGAAUUGUGUUUAUUUUAGACAUGGGUAAAAAGUAUUUUGUAACAAUGGUAGCUUUGGAAACCUCAAGGAUAUGAAAUUAAUAUAUUAGAAAUCAGGAAAUAGUGGUAUGUUUAUCUAAAUAUGAUAAUACCAAGACAAGCAUUACAAAAAUAUUUAAGUUCUAUUUCCUUCCUCCAGCAUUUGUAUGUAUAGAUAAUCCUAGAAUAGUAAAGAUGAGAUGAAGAAAUAGUUUGAAAAUAACCCAUUAACCUAUCUUUAAAAUGUAUUGCUGUUUAAUUAGAAUCCAUAAAUUAAUAUGAAUACUCAUAGUCUUUCUUAAAGCCAGAAGUAUAACUAUCUCAAUUAUGUACAUAUACUGUAGUUGUUUUGGUUCCUUGUAUUUCAGGUCUCUGAAUAAGAAUUGGUGAAAAUUCAGAAUUUUGAUAGUGUUGCAGAGGGUAACUCAAAAUAGAAACAAAAUAAAGUUCUUGACAAUAUAAGAAUUUUUUUUUUUUUUUUUUACAGGCAGAGUGGACAGUGAGAGAGAGAGACAGAGAGAAAGGUCUUCUUUUUGCCAUUGGUUCACCCUCCAAUGGCCGCCGCGGCUGGCGCACCGCGCUGAUCCAAAGGCAGGAGCCAGGUGCUUAUCCUGGUCUCCCAUGGGGUGCAGGGCCCAAGCACUUGGGCCAUCCUCCACUGCACUCCCUGGGCCAUAGCAGAGAGCUGGCCUGGAAGAGGGACAACCGGGACAGAAUCCAGCGUCCCAACCGACCAGGACUAGAACCCGGUGUGCUGGCACCGCAAGGCGGAGGAUUAGCCUAGUGAGCCGCAGCGCCGGCCUCAAUAUAACAAAUUUAUAAGAGAAAUAUGAGUUUUAGAAACAAAGAUAUACUUAAUCAUUCAUUGUCUAUGUGUUUUCUGAUUUGACCUCCUGACUAUCAAACUGCUUAAGCAAAUGUUUCUUUUUUUUUUUUUUAAAGAUUUAUUUUAUUUAUUUAAAAGACAGAGUUACAGAGAGAGGUAGAGACAGAGAGAGAGGUCUUCCAUCCACUGGUUCACUCCCCAGAUGACUGCAACAGCUGGAGCCAUGCCGAUCUGAAGCCAGGAGCUAGGAGCCUCCUCGGGGUCUCCCAUGUAGGUGCAGGGGCCCAAGGACUUGGGCCAUCUUCUACUGCCUUCUCAGGCCAUAGCAGAGAGCUGGAUCAGAAGAGGGGCAACUGGGACUAGAACCGGUGCCCAUAUGGGAUGCCAGUGCUUCAGGCCAUUGCUUUAACCCACUGUACCACAGUGCCUGCUCCUUAAGCAAGUGUUUCUACAAUGCAUUCAGGAGGUGCCAGGAAGAGAUUCCUCCACAGUGUGUGUUGCAAUAAUAGAACAUUUCUUGAUGACGCUCUUCCUUCUCUUAACUCCUUAUCCAAUCAUUUGAUUAUUUUAGUAACCAUAUAUUCAUCACCAUUCAUUCAUGCAUUUUUGGAAGGAUCAUCUCAGUAGCCACACUAAAUUACAUUUUAAACAUUUCUUUGUUUGCAAUAAAUAUUAUAUUAUAACAAAAUUCUUUUGGACUUGUUUCAUUCUACAUUACACUUGUAGCUUUAAUAGUAUGUCCCUACAUGUAGAAGAGAGUGUGAGUGGAAUGUAAGAAGAAUCAGGGAACAGUGGGAUUCUUAAGCUUUCUCACAAAAUUCUUCAACAUAAAAAUGGUGAAGGAGCAGAUUUUAAAUAAAGUCAUGGAAGUAUGUCGUCUAGCAAAGAAACUGAGAUUUCCAAGAGGCUUCCUCUGAGGGAGGUAUGUCCCACCUGAACCCUUGUCUUUAGGAAGAGUGCACAGUUUGUUUCCUUGUGUGGAUGUGCCUCCAGCUCACACACUCAUGAUUUCUUAUUGUUGCUUUGUAUUUCAUUUCCCCAGAUACACCCUUUUUGUAUCUCUUCUCUCACAGCUCUUUCCAUCUCAGACUCUAUUGCUUCUUUUAUCUGCAUUUGGUACUCAGACUUAGAUAUGAAACACAUUCCCUCCAUCCCUGCCUUCUUCUUUUAAAUACUCCUUUUAUGCCUACAACUUAACUAUAUUUCUUUGUUUUUGUUCACUUUUAUAUUUGGCUUUAAAUUCCACUCCACUACUUCCAUUUCCAGUAGAAUUCUAUCUAGAAAAUGCAGCCCUGUAAUUAUUAUUGACUUCAUUCUUCCCCAAUGCUCACCUGUUUAAUAGAAAGACUUUUUGGUGGUAAGAGGACAAAAAUACAUAACACACACUAUUCUACAAACAUUUGUAUAAUGUAGUAUCCAUCAUUGAUUCAAAAGUUGAUCUGAAGUCAAAUGUAUACUUACUAUAUAACCUAAUAUUUGUGUUUCUUGGCAUUCACCCCAUUUAUUUGAAAAUAUAUGUCCAUACAAAAGCCUGCAAAUGGAUGCUCAUAGGCAGUUCUAUCAUAAUUACCAAAAAUUUGGAGGAAUCAGGAUGCCCUUCAAAAGGUGAAUGGGGCAAUAAAUUGUGAUACAUUCAUUCAAUUGCAUAGUAUAUACAAGGAAAUCCACUAUCAAGUCAUGUGAAUGGAUUUUAAAUGCGUAACACUAAAUUAAAGAGGUCAGUCUCAGAAGGCUGCAUACUGAAUGAUUCCAUUUAUAUGACAUUGGGAACAAAGCAAAAACUACAGAACAAACCAAAUAAAUAGUUGCUAGGGAUUUUCAGAGUAGGGUGAGUUGAUUACAUUAAGUAUGGGGAUAUUUUGAAGUCAUAAAGCUAUUAUGUAUGGACUCUAUUUGUGAAUAUGCAGCAAAAUUUGUCGAAUCCCAUAGAACUUUAGAGCAUAAAGAGAGAGCAUGCUGUAGGAACAAAAAGACAACCAGGUGGCCAUGUGAACCCUGGUCAGAAAUCAGGGUGACAAAUGAAUUCAACUAUAUUACACGUGUAUGAAAUAACCUCACUGAAGACAAUAGUGAUCAAGAGGUGCUGACUUAAGCAACUUAGGGAAUGACUAAAAAUUGUCAGAUUUAUGACAAAUCAAACUGUCUACAAACAUUAUACGCUAGUUGAUAAAGUUGUUUCUUUUCUUUUCUUUCUUUCUUUUUUUUUUGUCAGGCAGAGUGGACAGUGCGAGAGACAGACAGAAAGAUCUUCCUUUUCCGUUGGCUCACCCCCCAGUGGCCACUGAGGCCCACGCGCUUCGGCUGGUGCAUCACGCUGAUCCAAAGCCAGGAGCGAGGUGCUUCCUCCUGGUCUCCCAUGCGGGUGCAGGGCCCAAGCACUUGGGCCAUCCUCCACUGCACUCCCGGGCCACAGCAGAGAGCUGGCCUGGAAGAGGAGCAACCGGGGCAGAAUUCAGUGCCCUGACUGGGACUAGAACCUGGUGUGCCAGUGCCACAGACAGAGGAUUAGCCUAUUGAGCUGCGGUGCUGGCCGAUUUGUUAUUUCUUAUAGCUAUAUAACUUAUUGAUUCUGAAAUCUUAGUACAUAUCUGCACAAAAUAAAUAUAUAACAGAGCCAUAUUUUUUCAUUGUUGGAGUGGGGAUUCACAUUUUAAAUGAAACAAGCAAGAGAUUAUUGCCAAGGCUGUCACUAUAGUCUGAGAUUCUGCACAAUAAGGCACCGCCCAAUUUAGAAGUACAUUUCUUUUGUAAUAGCUAACCAAUUACAAGUAACCACACUUCAGCCAAUCACCUAAUUAGAUCAUGUCUAAAUGAGCCAAUGUCCAGCUAUGACCAAUCAAAAUAUUUCUGUACUUCCAUGUUCGGUACUCACUGUCCAUGUCGUGAAGUGAUGCUCUCUGAUUCCCUUUUAGUUUACAUGCAGCUCCCCCAUUUGUGAACCUUUUGCUGUUGUUAAAAUGAAGCAUGUUAGCUCACGCUGCGGCUCACUAGGCUAAUCCUCUGCCUGCGGCGCCAGCACCCCAGGUUCUAGUCCCAGUCGGGGCACUGCAUUACUGGAUUCUGUCCUGGUUGCUCCUCUUCCAGGCCAACUCUCUGCUGCAGCCCAGGAGUGCAGUGGAGGAUGGCCCAGGUGCUUGGGCCCUGCACCCGCAUGGGAGACCAGGAGAAAGCACCUGGCUCCUGGCUUCGGAUCAGCGCAGCGCGCAGGCCGCAAUGCGUUGGCGGUAGCGGCCACUUGGGGGGUGAACCAACGGAAAAAGGAAAACCUUUUUUUCUGUCUCUGUCUCUCUCUCUCACUGUCUAACUCUGCCUGUCAAAAAUAAAAAAUAAAAAAAAGCAUAUUAAAUUUAAGUUGUCUAAAGCCUUUUUUCUAACAUACAUAAUCAAGGAGAGAAAGCUAUAAUGGACCACAUAGUCUUGCAUUAAGUUGGAUAUAUAAAAUCUGGCUUAGCUUAAUAUAGAUAGUGAUGCAUAUAUGGAGAGCUAAUUAUACAUGAUGUGUAUGCAUAAAUAUUUCCUCGUUCUAUCCACUGAUGAGCCCAACCAUGACAUCUCAGCACAGACUGUAGUCUUAAAUAUCACUCUCUGAUAAAAGGAACCAAGGUCUGUCCAAAAACGGCUGAUUCUAGGCUCAUUCUGGUAAAUACAUGAUGAGCCUGGAGCAUCUCAUAGUGCCUGAAUUUAAAGAAAUGCUAAAACACGAGUGAUAACAAAAGAAUUUCCAACUGUCAAAGUAUAUGAUAUUGCAUUAUUUAAUGAGAAUAAAUAAAUUAUAGCUAAAUAUCUAUGAGUUAAUACUGAUACAAAUAAACAACUGCAAAAGUAAAUAACUAGGGGGAGGACACACAAAUAUACCAUAUAGAGAAUUCCAAAUCAUUGGUGAAGAUAUUCCCUUCUCAAGGAGAUGGAGUACAACUCUGGGCUCCUGUAUCUGUGAAGAUGGGGAAUACAGUUAAUGACUUAUUUCCAAAGAGUUCAAGGAGAGCAAAAAUGAAACUUCAUAGUGGGAAAUGCUGUCAGCCACCACCUCAGCCAGAUGAAUAAGGUUUACAGCAUUAGUGAUGUGCUGUUAGCAAUCACCCUUAAUGUUGUGCUGAGAAUCUCACUUCCUGUCUGUGCUUUUCCUCCUCAAAGUUAUGUCUGAAUGUAGUCAUGGAAAAAACCUCAGCCAAACUCAAACUGAGUGACACUACCAAAUGCCCAACCAGUAAAACUCAGCACUGUCCAAAUCAAAACAAACAAAAGAAAACAGUCACAACUAAGAAGAACCUUCGGAGACAUGGUGACUAAAUGUAAUGUGGGAUUCUUUCCUGGAAUGAAAAAAACAUCAGCAAACACUGGGAAAUCUAAUAACACACGGAUUUUAGUUAAAAAUAAUAUAUAUACAAGGCUGACUCUGUGGCACAGUUGUUAAAGCCCCAGCCUGCAGUGCCAGCAUCCAUAUGGGCACCAGUUUGAGUCCCAGAUGUUCCACUUCUGAUCCAGCUCUGUGCUAUGGCCUGGGAAAGCAGCAGAAGAUGACCCAACAGCUUGGGCCCCUGCACCCACAUGGGAGACCAGGAAGAAGUGCCAGGUUCCUGGCUUCAGAUCAGCUCAGCUCUGGCUGUUGUGGUCACCUGUGGAGUGAACCAGCGUAUGGAAGACCUCUCUCUCUCUCUCUCUCUCUCUCUCUCUCUCUCUCUCCAGCUCUACUUCUCUCUGUAACUCUUUCAAAUAAAUAAAAUGAAUCUUAAAAAUAUGUAUAUAGAUAUAGUUAGAAAUAUAGAUAGUUGAUGAGAAAGAUGGACUUGUCAAGGUACAGCUCCAUAUGUUGAAGUAUCCCUAAUGAGACAGAAGCCUGCUAGGUACGGAGGAACAUCCAGUGGGGUGGGGGUCUGCGGACACCUGCAUUGGGAGAAGAAAGGGUGGAGGAACCAGGGCUGAGCUUGAUUACAGGGUGCAGUACAGGCUGUUCCAGCUAGGUGCAUAAAAUCAUUUGAGAAUGAGUCAGUCCUAAGAAUGCAAAACCAAUGCAUAAUGCAAAGGCUCUUCACUUGUGAUUGUUAAGGGGUAGCCACAGAACUAUUUCUGAUUCAUUGAACUCUGACUCUCUAUUUCCUUGGCAUGCUCCCUUGCAGCUGAGUGUUAGUCUGGAAAGUGUAGGUAAAGAGAACAUGCUUUAAAACAGAGUUUUGAAGAUUGAUAAGUGGAUGGGCUUUUAAAGUGAGCAUGUGUUGGAUCCUUAAAAUGAGAAUCAGAGAAUAUUGGAGACAAUGAGCUGGCUAGUUUGGCUAACAUGGCCUGUGCAAGUCUGGGUAUGACUCUAGAAGAUUUGCAUUUUGGGGGAAUCAGUAAGCAGAGGGGGUAAAAAUGGCCAAUGUUGAGAACCUUUGAUGUUUUAAUGUUAUUUAGUAAUUUAUAUUUUUUUGACUUUGAGGAAAAUUUUAAAUGGAUUUUCCCUGGGAAAUAAAUGUUUAACUCUCUUCUUAUAUGUUCACCAUUCUGUAACAUAUACUUUAAUUCAAAGUGGUCAUUCUACAGUUAAUGCUAGCCAAUCUACUAUGAUUAAUCAAACAGGGUUAUAGACACAAUGCCACAUUUAGCCAGAUUGAUAAGUUAUAAGCUUGUCAAGUAACUAAUAGAUUAUGGUAAAUUAAUAAGAAGAGUUUGGGAGGUAAUAAAUAUCUCUCUCACCAAAAUUUAUGUAUUACGAUACUUUACUCCAAAUGAAAUUUAUGUGAUAUCUGAUUGGGGAAGAACCAUUUUUGUCAUCUUGGAUGGCACCCUCUAAAAUGGUCUCUGAUGAUCCGACCUCCUGGUAGUGACAUCUUUGUAAAUUUCUCUUCCCUUAAAUGUGUGUUAUAACUAACAACUGGCUUAAAAAUUAGAAUAUGGCAAAAGGAUGGAUGCCAUUUUGGAGACUGGGUUACAAAAACACUAUCUUCUGUGUCUGUGUCUGUCUCUUCCUCUCUUACCUCCCGCCCUGGAGGAAGGUGGCUGAUGCAUUGUGAAUAGUUUUACAGAGAGGGUUAAUGACCAAGAGCUGAUGUUACCAGUCCACGGCCAGACAAGACCAGAGCUUUGUGAAUGAACUUGGAAGCACAUCUUCCAGUCAUGUCCUGACAUGAUUGCAGCCACUGCUGACACCUGUUGGAGCCUCAGGCAAGAUUUUGAGGCAGAGGACCCUGCUAUGCUAUGCCAGGAGGCCUGAUCCUCAGGAAUGGUGAACUAUUGAAUGUGGGUUGUUUCAAGCAGCUGAAAUUACUUGACAAGCUUAUAAAAGUAAUUUGUUACAAAGUAUUAAAUAAUCAUUACAUACAUUUUAUAUUUUACUAAAAAUUUUUAUUAAAAAUCAAGUCACCGAAUAAUCUUUUUCUUUUAAGUAAGGAGAGUAGGAUUGAAAUUCUGUAAAAAUUCCUUUGUUCUGAUAGAAUAUAUGUUAUAGAGUGAUUUCUGUAAAUAAAGUUUUGGAACUAAAUGUAAGAAAUACAAUUUCUUCUACCUUUUCAGAAUAAAACCAGUGUGUGUUAUAUUUCAAAGAAAAUUCCUGACACCUCUUUAAAGACACUUGAAUCAUUUUAUUGCAUUUCAUUUGAUUUUUCUCCUCAAUUACCACGGAUUUGCCCAUCUUUCAUGGGGAAAAAAUGUGACUUUAAACUGAAGUAGGACAAAAACACACGUUUGGCCUUGACUUCUGAUCCUUCCUAGGUGUGUCUAAAUUUAAGCUAUAAAAGGAACAGACUUCUUUCUCCAUAUUUGCUAGUGGAAUGGAAAGGAAGCAAGGGCUGGUUUCAGCUAAAGAGUUAAAAGAUUGUUACUAAGGCUUUCAGGGGGAAAUGAAAAUCCAAUGGAAUCUAACAUAGUAUGUCCAACUGGCAUUUGUCUAGUUCCCCAUUUGUCUGCUGUUCUAAAGUGCUCCCUCCACUGGGCUUCCUUUUCUACACAAUGUGGCCCAUUUUUGUUCCCUCUGCUAAUGCUCCCCAUAUGCUCAGAUCAAGUUUCACACCUUCUUCUAUCCGUUUCGCCUCUUUUGGCUUGUGCUCUGUUUGCCUGCCAUAUGUAACCACACUGGCAACAUUUCCAGUCCCAAUUUAAAGUUUGAAACGUGUCUUUCCCUGAAUUUUGUAUUUUUACACCUUUGGAACUUGGCAUCAUUUCUCUCCAUCAAAGUCUGACUGAUUCUCUUUCAUAUUUUUCUUCUUCAGCUAGUUACUUUCAGAGGCACUAACUUCUACAUCUAUCAUUUCUGGCCCUACUCUGAGUUCAGAGAACAUAAAAAUGUAAGAAAAAUAAUCUAUAGUUCAGCGGGAGCCAUCACAAUAGACAGGUGGUGUAUUUAUGAGACAGCUGGAUUAGACUAGAUUCUCAUUUUAGUUUUUCAGCUGUGUGUUUGUGUGUGUACAACCCUUCUUUGGCUGAAGAGUGACUGUUUACUACCGCAGAAACAAAUGUUUGUUGUUACAUGUGAAAUACGCCUUCAUUUGCAAUUCAUAGCACUACUUGGAGUGAUUAUUUCAAAAUUUAGAUUGUAGUUUUCACUUACCUGAUGGCUCUGUAUGGACAAAAGACUUCCUGUUGCGGGCCAGUGCUAUGGCUCACUUGGCUAAUCCUCUGCCUGUGGCGCCGGAAUCCCAUAUGGGCACCGGGUUCUAGUCCCUGUUGCUCCUCUUCCAGUCCAGCUCUCUGCUGUGGCCCAGGAAGGCAGUGGAGGAUGACCCAAGUGUUUGGGCUCCUGCAUCUGCAUGGGAGACCAGGAGGAAGCACCUGGCUCCUGGCUUCGGAUCGGCGUAGCUCUGGCUAUAGCGCCAUCUGGGGAGUAAACCAACAGAAGGAAGACCUUUCUCUCUGUUUCUCUCUCUCUCUCACUGUCUAACUCUACCUGUCAAAUAUGUAAAAACAAACAAACAAACAAAAAAAAAACCUUCCUGUUGCAAUCUCCAUCGCCCAUUAGAUUGCUGACUAGGACAGAUGCUUCUGCAGUUAUUCCAGAUUGAUUCUUUCUCUCCCUCUAUACCUUCUCCGUUUUUUAUGAUUUCGGUCAGAUCCCUCACUCCUUACACCCACAUUCAUCCUAACUCCUCCAAUCUCUUAUAGUGUUAACUGUCUAUCUCUUUUUAGCUCUUAAUUACCUACUCCUAUGCAGCCUGGAAACUUUUUCCUUUCUCGUUUGCCUGACAAUUGCAUGCUUGUGAUCAAAGACUCAUGGUGAGCCUCACCCCCUCCAUGAGGUCAUCCCUGAGUACUCUCACUCUGCACCAUAGAAUGACAACCGAGAGAAUGUGUAUUCCCUUACCUGUGGCCCUCAAGCGUCUUCUGUGUGUGAGCACUGAGCAUGUACUCCCCUAUUUGAUAAUGUAUCCACUGUAUGCACCUCUCCAUUGCACAGUGAACUCCUUUGCCAUUGGUUCACCCUCCAAUGGCCGCUGCGGCCAGCAUGCUGCGGCUGGCGCAUCGUGCUGAUCCGAAGCCAGGAGCCAGGUGUUUUUCCUGAUCUCCCAUACAGGUGCAGGGCCCAAGGACUUGGGCCAUCCUCCACUGCACUCCUGGGCCAUAGCAGAGAGCUGGCCUGGAAGAGGGGCAACCGGGACAGAAUCCGGCGCCCCAACCCGGACUAGAACCCGGUGUGCCAGCACCGCAGGUGGAGGAUUAGCCUAGUGAGCCAUGGCGCCGGCUGCACAGUGAACUCUUUCUAGUAGGCAUUCACUAUAUUCAACUCUGCCUAGUGACCUGGAAAAUGUCUGAAAAAUUAAAGAAGCUCAACAUAUACUUGACCAAACAAAUGGAAGAACACAAAAGAACAACAGAAUGAACAUGUACAGGAAUUAAUUACUAACAUUGUGAUGUGCAUCAAAUAAUUGCAAAUGUAUCUAAAUCACCUCGAAAUAUGUGUCAAUAAAUCAACUAAUUAUGUGGAUGAAUUAAUAAUCAUUAUUUUUAUCAACAUAGGAGCAUCGUAUUAAUUAGAAGCAUGUAUUAAUUAUUGGCUAUGCAUACAUCUAUUCUUUGCUGAAUAAAUAGAAGGGAAAUGAGUCGAGUGCAUCACAGACAUUAGCACUCCUAUUUAAUAAAGAGAGGAGAUAUUUUAAAUUCACUAUUAUAUAUAACUUUUUAUUAAAAAGAUAAUUUACUGAACUUUGAGAAAGAAAGUAGAGGGGCAGGCGCUGUGGUGCAGUGGGUAGAGCCUCUGCCUGCAGUGCAGGCAUCCCAUAUGGGUGCUGGUUUGGGUCCUGGCUUUUCCACUUCCUAUCCAGCUCUCUGCUAUGGCCUCGGAAAGCAGUAGAAGACAGUCCAAAUCCUUGGGCCCCUGCACCCGCGUAGGAGACCCAGAGGAAGCUCCUGGCUCCUGGCUUCGGAUCAGUACAAGUCUCCCUGGGCAUUGAGGCCACUGGGGAGUGAACCAUCGGAUGGAGGACCUCUCUCUCUCUCUCUCUGCCUCUCUAACUCUGCCUUUUAAAUAAAUAAAUUAAUUAAAAAAAUAAAGUAGAGAAAAAAUAGUAGAGAAACUAUUGGAAGAGAAAAUACCAACAAACUCAGUAUUUUAAACCACAGUAUUCAGUGUGCUUUUCUUAUGUGUUUUUCAUGUAGUUUGCAAUUUUGUAUGGUAUCACAUUAGAAUGACUGCAUAACAGUCAAUAUGAGAUUGGAGCAAGGAAGGAAAGGUAGGUAUGGUGGGAAGUAUCAUCAUGCUCUUAAAACUACAUAUAAAAUACAUGAAAUCUGUUCCCUUUGUAUAAAUAAAAAAAUAAAGAGAUUGUUGUAUUUCAACCUCUUGAAAUAUACCACAGGGAGUGCAGUGGAGGAUGGCCCAAGUGCUUGGGCCCUGCAUCCCAUGGGAGACCAGGAGGAAGCACCUGGCUCCUGGCUUCAGAUCAGUGCGGUGCGCAGGCAGCAGCGUGCCGGCCGCAGCGGCCAUUGGCGGGUGAACCAACGGCAAAGGAAGACCUUUCUCUCUGUCUCUCUCUCUCUCACUGUCCACUCUGCCUGUAAAAAAAAAAAAAAAAAGAAAUAUACCAAAGACAUGAAUAGUACAUCUGAUUGAACCACACCAGAGGAAUUGCUAGAAGGAUUUGGACCAAGGAUUUUGAAAGGUUGGAUUUAGGUAGGGGUGAUUUCAUCAGAGUGUAAAGGAUAGGGGCCCGACUCUGAACUAGGUGCUGUCAGAAAAAUAUUAAAUUUAGGAUAUGUUUGUCUUGGAAAUAAUUUUCAAGGAAGUGAGAGGAUCAAAGCAAUGCUGUGUUGUCAUUGGUAAAAAGGCAAAUUCCCAGGAGUGGUAUUGCUGGGGCAUAUGGUUUACCAAAAAGAAAUGAAAUCAGCAUAUGAAACAGUUAUAUGUACUCCCAUGUGCAUUGCAGCUCAAUUCACAACAGCUAAGAUAUGGAAUAAACCCAGGUGUCCAUCAACUGAUAACUGGAUAAAGGUUAUGUGGUAUAUAUACACUAUGGAAUACUACUCAGCAGUAAAAAAAAAAAAAAAAAAAAAGGAUUCAAGUGGAAACUAUUACACUUAGUGAAAUAAGCCAGUCCCCAAAAGACAAGUUCCAUAUAUUUUCCCUGAUCCAUGGUAACUAAUAGAGUACCUAAAAUGUAAUGUUUGGGAGUGAAAUUGACUUUUUGAGAUUUGAUGAUUGUUUACAGCCCUUGUCUUUACUGUUGAGGAUCAGUAUUUUUUUCUUCACCCUAUUUGUUGAACUCUUUACUUAGUGUAGAAUUAAUCAUACGUGUAUGAAGUUAAUUGACAUAGAUCUUAGUGAA